CCUACGGGGGGCAGCAGUGGGGAAUAUUGCACAAUGGGGGAAACCCUGAUGCAGCGACGCCGCGUGAGUGAAGAAGUAUUUCGGUAUGUAAAGCUCUGUCAGCAGGGAAGAAAAUGACGGUACCCGACCAAGAAGCCCCGGCUAACUACGUGCCAGCAGCCGCGGUAAUACGUAGGGGGCAAGCGUUAUCCCGAUUUACUGGGUGUAAAGGGGGCGUAGACGGGAGGGCAAGUCUGGGGUGAAAGGCGGGGGCUCAAACCCCGGACUGCACUGGAAACUGCCAGGCUGGAGGGCAGGAGAGGUAGGCGGAAUUCCUAGUGUAGCGGUGAAAUGCGUAGAUAUUAGGAGGAACACCAGUGGCGAAGGCGGCUUGCUGGACUGUAACUGACGUUGAGGCUCGAAAGCGUGGGGAGCAAACAGGAUUAGAUACCCGAGUAGUC
rnacentral:rRNA from 1 species